GACGAACGCUGGCGGCGUGCUUAACACAUGCAAGUCGAGCGGAAAGGCCCUUCGGGGUACUCGAGCGGCGAACGGGUGAGUAACACGUGAGUAAUCUGCCCUUGGCUUUGGGAUAACUACCGGAAACGGUGGCUAAUACCGGAUACGACAACCGUCUGCAUGGGCUGGUUGUGGAAAGUUUUUUCGGCCAGGGAUGUGCUCGCGGCCUAUCAGCUUGUUGGUGGGGUAAUGGCCUACCAAGGCUUCGACGGGUAGCCGGCCUGAGAGGGUGACCGGCCACACUGGGACUGAGACACGGCCCAGACUCCUACGGGAGGCAGCAGUGGGAAAUAUUGGACAAUGGGCGGAAGCCUGAUCCAGCAACGCCGCGUGAGGGAUGACGGCCUUCGGGUUGUAAACCUCUUUCAGUACCGACGAAGCGCCGAUGAUGGUGGUGACGGUAGGUACAGAAGAAGCACCGGCCAACUACGUG
rnacentral:rRNA from 1 species